AGAGUUUGAUCCUGGCUCAGGAUGAACGCUAGCGACAGGCUUAACACAUGCAAGUCGAGGGGCAUCAUGAGGUAGCAAUACCUUGAUGGCGACCGGCGCACGGGUGAGUAACGCGUAUGCAACCUGCCCGAUACCGGGGUAUAGCCCAUGGAAACGUGGAUUAACACCCCAUAGUACUUUUAUCCUGCAUGGGAUGUGAGUUAAAUGUUCAAGGUAUCGGAUGGGCAUGCGUCCUAUUAGUUAGUUGGCGGGGUAACAGCCCACCAAGACGAUGAUAGGUAGGGGUUCUGAGAGGAAGGUCCCCCACAUUGGAACUGAGACACGGUCCAAACUCCUACGGGAGGCAGCAGUGAGGAAUAUUGGUCAAUGGACGAGAGUCUGAACCAGCCAAGUAGCGUGAAGGAUGAAGGUCCUACGGAUUGUAAACUUCUUUUAUAAGGGAAUAAACCCUCCCACGUGUGGGAGCUUGUAUGUACCUUAUGAAUAAGCAUCGGCUAACUCCGUGCCAGCAGCCGCGGUAAUACGGAGGAUGCGAGCGUUAUCCGGAUUUAUUGGGUUUAAAGGGUGCGUAGGCGGUUUAUUAAGUUAGUGGUUAAAUAUUUGAGCUAAACUCAAUUGUGCCAUUAAUACUGGUAAACUGGAGUACAGACGAGGUAGGCGGAAUAAGUUAAGUAGCGGUGAAAUGCAUAGAUAUAACUUAGAACUCCGAUAGCGAAGGCAGCUUACCAGACUGUAACUGACGCUGAUGCACGAGAGCGUGGGUAGCGAACAGGAUUAGAUACCCUGGUAGUCCACGCCGUAAACGAUGCUCACUGGUUCUGUGCGAUAUAUUGUACGGGAUUAAGCGAAAGUAUUAAGUGAGCCACCUGGGGAGUACGUCGGCAACGAUGAAACUCAAAGGAAUUGACGGGGGCCCG
rnacentral:rRNA from 1 species